GUGCUUGCUUUAGCAGCACAAUACUAGAAUUGGAACAGUACAGAAAAGAUUAGAAUGGCCCUUGAGCAUGGAUAACACACAAAUUUGUGACGCCUCCCAAACUUUU
ensembl:snRNA U6 U6 spliceosomal RNA